GCAGCUAUCCUUUAAAAAGUGCGUAACAGCUUACCAGUCAAGAUUUAGGGCGCUGAAAAUGGACGGGGCUCAAGCCUACUACAGAGACCACGGAGCACCGAAAGGUGAUCUCGUAGAGAGGCGUUCUGCAUGGGCAGAAGCUGGGGCGUAAGGUCCAGUGGACCGUGCAGAAUUGAGAAUUCUGGCAGUAGUAGAAGCAUAGUUGGGUGAAAAUCCCAACCGCCGCAGGGGCUAGGUUUCCUCGGCCAUGUUCGUCAGCCGAGGGUUAGUCGGUCCUAAGGUGCACCGUAACUCGAGUGUACCGAAAGGGAAACAGGUUAAUAUUCCUGUACCGUCCGUCUGUAGCGAAAGCCCUGACGCUUCGGGAUAUGUCAGGCGGGACCGUCGUCCCGUCUAAGCAUCAGAAGCCUGUGGAGUACCGUAAUGGUGAGAAGCAGGUGAAUGUGUGAUGGGGUAACCUGACAAAUUCCUGGAGCCCGUGAAAAGGGAGACGGCGUCCGUACCGAGAACCGACACAGGUGCCCCUCGCUGAGAAGGCGAAGGCGUGUCGGAGAUAAUUGUGUUAAGGGAACUCGGCAAAUUGGCCCCGUA
rnacentral:rRNA from 1 species